rnacentral:antisense_RNA from 1 species
AAAAAAGGAAGGAAGAAAGGAGGAAGAGGCAGGCACAAGACAAAAUGAAUCUCUCCGCUGUGCACAUGGAGCCUUAGCUCUGAUUCCAGUUGAGCAAAAUUAUGAAGAAGAUGAUUCCCCAUAUGGAGGACAGAUAAACACCCUGCGGCGAGUCACUCACUCCCGAAAGGCCCUCUGAAGGAUCGCGCAUGUCCUGACUGCACAGCCUGCUCCUGACAAUGCUCUCAAAGCCACGGUUGUAAUAGAAAGUGGAAAAUUAAAGCAGAUCCGACAAGAUGGGAUUUCCCCUCCACAAGCACUCUCUUGCCUGCUGCCAUGUAAGGCAUUCCUUCGCUCCUGCUUUGCCUUCCGCCAUGAUUGGGAGGCCUCCCCAACCAUGUGGAACUAGAUGGGGUUUCAUCAUGUUGCCCAGCCUAGCCUUGAACUCCUCGGCUCAAGUGAACUGCCUGCCUCGGCCUCCCAAAGUGCUGGGACUACAGUGAGCCACCUUGCUGGCCUACACAGCACAGCUUUUAAAGACACAACACGCUUUG